UAUCAUUUGUCGUUGUUCUCUUUUCUAAAUUACUGAUGGAUGCCCAUAUAGGUGAAAAGUGCUGAGCGAGGCCGUUGAAGGCACAAUCAUUUUAAUGUUGCCUGUCAGCCUGUCAAUUACACGCGGUUUCUCGUAGUUCAGGGAAAACCUUAUAUCCCGGGAUACGUCUGGGACCCGCCUUUCACCACUAAACAAACCGGCAAAGAACGAUAACUUAAAAAUGUGAGAUGAGAACCGAUUAAUAACGUUGGCUGUAUUCCUGUGUAUCGAGAGUGGAAUGGGCUUUAUAUCUCCAAACCUUUUAUCCAUCAUUAAAUGAACAGUGGUAAUGGCUCUUGGAUGUUCAGUGAAAACGUCAGUCAGCUUGGUCACGGAGGAGCGGGAGUCUGUCCCAGCCAGCAGUAGGCAGGAUACACCCUGGACAGGAUGCCACUCCAAUCAAAGGGCAUAUACAGACACAGACACGCUUACACCUGGCUCUGUCUCGUCAUCUCUUUUUGAUCCACUGUGAGGAUGAGGAAACCUUGUGAGUUUCCAGUCCCUGCUAUGGGAAGCUGAGGGACAGAAAGCUCACUACUGUAAAUACGCUGGAUGACAAAGGGGGUGCUCAUUGUAACAUCAAUAAUAAUAUUAGACUGGGAACACCUGAUGUUGUGUGGAGAUCACACAAGGAGCUAGCUGCUCUGCUUUGUCAACCCCCUCCAGUUUGGAAUAGAAAUAUAUUGAUGUGAUGAUUAGUAAGCGCUAUAUGUUUAGAUUUUGUUAUAUGUUUUUUCACAAGCAAACUUCAGUUCAUACAUGUUUUGUAACAGAUAGGUAACAAAAUCUCUACAACCUAUGAGAAUACUGCAUCAUACAAUCAUAUUUGACCUGUCAACACAGCUGAUUAUACAAUAAAAAUCUGUCAAGUUA